ACGAAAUGCAAAUGCUAAAUGACCUAAAAAUGAAUGCAUGCAUGAGGUGUAAAGCGUAUUCUUCCAGAAAAAAUGAAGGGUAAAUUUUGGGGUAUUACAACAAGUACCAAAAGUAUUGGCCUCUAGGGCUUACACCACCAAUCUCCCACUAGCACUAGAGCCAAUCAGGCAUACCCCUAAUGCCCAUAGAUCUAGUAUGGCC
rnacentral:lncRNA from 1 species